UAUUCCAUUGGUCAAUGUGGCUGUCCUUGCAUCAAUACCCGACUGAUCUAAUUACUACAGCUUCAUAGUAAGGUGGUGUUUGGUUGUGUUUAGAACAGCAGUUGACAUUUUUAUAUUGCUCUUGUACCCAGUUAUCUUGCCAAACUCUCCUAUUAUUUUUUUUCUUUUCUUUCUUUAUUUUUGAGACAGAGUCUCUCUCUUUGUUGUCCAGGCUGGAGUGCCGUGGCGUGAUCUUGGCUCACUGCAACCUCCACCUCCAGGGUUCAAGCGAUUCUCCUGUCUCAGUCUCCCGAGUAGCUGGGAUUACAGGUGCCCACCACCAUGCCCAGCUACUUUUCAUAUUUUUAGUAGAGAUGGGGGUUUCACCAAGUGGGCCAGGCUGGUCUCAAACUCCUGACUUCAGGUGACCCACCCACCUUGAUCUCCCAAAGUGCUGGGAUUACAGGUGUGAGCCACCGCACCCAGCAAACUCUCCUAUUAUUCUAAUCAUGUACAGGUAGUUCCUUUUAGUUUUGUAAGUAAAAAAGCAUUAUCAUCUGCAAGUAUUGACAGCUUUUUAUCAACCUAAAAAGUUUUUAUGCACCCUUUUAUUUUUUCUGGUUUUAUUGCCCUAGCAAAACUCUUCAAUACAUUGUUGCCUAAAUGUGUCAAUAGAAUAAUUUUUUUUUUUCCAUUUCUAACUGGGAAGAGGAUUCUUCCAACAAUUUUUCAUUUAGGAAAGGCAAGCCACAGAGGAAGGUGGUCUACUGUUCUUCUACCUCCUCAUAUGUCUACAUUCCACUGGUGGAAGCAGGGGUGUAAUUUUUGCAUCUGUUCAAAGCCAACCAGGUUGAACCCAAAGGACUGUGUCAGCGUUUUAUGGAGUCCAUGACAUGUAAGACGUUGCCAGACAUGAAUGAAAUACUGUGAUGAGCAAGAAAUAGCCUGAAACCAGAGGCCCAUAAUCCAAUGGAAUGAACCACACUCUCGAUGUGCGUACAGAGAAGAUGGCUGGCUGGCUGGAUCCAGGGUUUUAAUGUUUCCAGAUUGAUAGCACAUGGCUUGCAGACCACAACUCCCCUUCAAGACUAAGACUAUCCCUAUGUUCCACACCUUGCCUCACUGACUUCCAGCCAGACUGUCAGCUAGGACUAUAUCUACAACUCUCGAAAUUAUUUACAUUUCCUGCCUGGGUCACCUCUUGGGCAAGAGGUUUUCCUGUAUUACACCCCCACAGCAAGAAAUAGUAUUUUAUUAAUUAGAAACUCUAAGAGGCACUCACCUCAAGUCCUGGUAUUUCUAGGGCUGGGAAAGUGAUCCCAGGUGUUUCAUGCCUGUUUCAUGCUUUCUUUUCUAAAAACUUCAACAUUCAUGUAAGGACUAAGAUUCAAAAGCCAUCAGCAUAGCAGAUUGGAAAAUCUGGGCUAAUGACUCUCAGCAUAUGCUCGGGGCUGAAGACCCAGACAGUCGGAACAGGAGACCUUUAGACUCAUUGUUCUAUGGAUGUGCCUGGGAGUCUAAGAAGGACAUCUCCAACCCUGCUGGUGGGUUGGGAGAAAGACAAGCAAAGGCAAGUGAUUGACUACAGAGCAGAGUGCAGUGAGAUCCCUGCAUGGGCUCUGGUCCCUGCUGGAGCUCUCUUUUGGCAGGCAGCCUGUGGGAAUCUGUAAUAUGACCAGUCAGGAACUUGGCCCUGGGAAGUUGGAGGUAUGGAUAUAACACAAGUCCCUGAGAACUUUGAGGAAGGAACCCCAAGAGAUAUCAACUUCCCUGUUGCUUGCUUUUCUUCCUCUGCAUGACUUUAUGGACUUGAAGGAGGACCUCAAUGCUUAGUUUGCACCUCACUUAUCUUACUUGGAGCUAUUGUACUGGGUUAUCUUGCCUACCAACAUGACUCAAUUAUUUCACUGAAACCAGUAACUUCCAAAUUAUAUCUCUAAUGUACAUUUUUUUCUGAGCUCCAGAUUACAUAUCAAAUUAACUCCUAACUCUACCUGAUAGACUGAACAAUGCUUCCCCUCAAAGAUGUCCAUGUCUUAGCCCUCAAAACCUGUGAAUAAGUUAUCUUUACAUAGCAAAAGACACCUUGCCAAUGUGAUUAAGUUAAGGAUCUUGAGAAAAGGGGAUGGUCCUGGAUUAUCCAGGUGAGCCCAAGGGCAUCACAAGGAACCACAGAAGAGGGAGGCAAAAGGGUCAGAGUCAGAGGAGACGUGAUGACAGAAGCAGAGGUCGGAGUGGUGAAGGGUCAUGAGCCAAGGAAUGUGGGCAGACCCUAGAAGAUAGAGAAGAAAAGGGACAAAUGCCCCUGUGGAAUACAACUCAAUUCCAGAAGGAAUUCAACUCUGCCAGCCCCUUGGUUUUAGCCUAAGACUAUGUCACACUUCUGAUCUUCAAAACUGUACAAUAAUCAAUAUGAGUGGUUUUAAGCCACUUAGUUUGUGGUAAUUUUUUACAUCAGUAGUGGAAACCAAUACACACCUGGGUAUCCCAAACUCACCAUCUGCCCUCCAAAAUGUGAUGCUUCCUCUGAACCAUUCAUUUCAAGACAUAGUACACGACUCUGCUAGUUCCCAAACUAGAAACAUGGAAGUCAUCCCAACACCUCCCACUCGCUUACCCACAACGUCCAGUGGCUUUGUUUUAAGACAAAGUGUUUAAAGACAAAGUUCAAAAUCCUUAAAGGGAUCCACAGGGCCCUGAAAUGUGUCCCAGGAUCUCACUGACCUCCCUGGCAUCCAUCUUUGGCUGGAUGGGUCUUUUGAGAAUGUCUAGAGAUAGCUCACACGUUCAUACUUGCUCCUAAGCCAGCCUGGAAGGCACCCAUCCCUCCUCCACCACCCACAUCACUGGCAACUUUUUGAGGAAUCAACUCUCAUGGCUUUUCCUCCAAGAAGCCUUGUCUGUAUCCACCGCUGAAGUUAGGUGCCCACUUCCCUAAAUUCUCACCCUUCAGUCUUGUAAGAGUCACCACAAGUAUUAUGUUCAAUUUAUCUCCUUCCAGUUAUUCUGCCAUCUCAUGAAGGCAGGAACCACAACUGUCUGGCUCUUGACUAUAGGCCGUGUUGCUGCACAAAAGCAGACACUCAGUACUAUUUACUG